GCGGGGUUUCACCAUGUUGGUCAGGGUGGUCUUGAUCUCUUGACCUUGUGAUCCGCCCGCCUUGGCCUCCCAAAGUGUUGGGAUUACAGGCGUGAGACACAGUGCCCAGCCUAGAAUAUUUCAUAAAUGUAGCAAAUUGGCUUUAGGGAACUUUUUCUGCUUCCAGCAUUCAGCAGCUAUUUGAAGGGUUUUGGAAGCAAAGGAAUGGAGGGAGACAGGACGGCACCCUGAGGGAGACGCAGGGCUGAACGGAGCUGUUCGGGGAUAGCUGUGGCUUGAGUGGGUCUGUUGGCUGAAAGGAGGGAUUCGUUGAAGAAGGAGCAAUGGACGAGGUGAGAGAGAGGAUACUGGAUGGAACCAGGUUUCAGAGGAGGCUGAUGGGAGAAUGUGAGGAGCACCAAAGCGAGCCUUAGGAAAAAGAAGUUCAGACAGACAGACACUUCGGUAAACCACAGCUCCCAGUAUUCACCACUGUGUGUAGUCUCCUCCCACACUGACUCUGGGCUUGGUCAGCUGACAAGCUUUGGCCAAUAGGGCUCUAGCAAGAAGAUGCCAGCAGAGGCUUGAAAAGUGCCUACCCCUGGCCUGGGAUGCUUCCUCCUGGGAUGCUCCCACUUGGAACCCAACUAUUGUGCUGCAGAAGUUUAACUUAACUGUGUAAGGAGGCCAAGAGGAGGCCCUGGCUGCCAGCCAGCAUCAACUUCCAGUGACGUGAGUGUGCCAUUCUGGAACUGGAUCCUGCAGCCUCGGUGGAGCAGCCUCAGCUGAUGCCAUGUGGAACAGAGAUGAACUGCCGCUGCCGAGCUCUGCCCACGUUGCAGAAUCAUGAGCAAAUAUGUUGUGGAUUGGCUGUAACUCUGCUCUGGGAUCCAGGCUGAAGGAGCAGGCUCUAUCUGGAACAUUACUAGUCUCCAGGCAGAAGAAAAAGAGACAAUGGAAUGGAUGAUUGAAUGGAUGAAUGAACUCCACAGGAAGAUGAGGAAAGCCUUUAUGGAUGGAGUGAGCUUGCAGCAGAGUCUCAAAGGGUGAGUAGAGUUUUCCAGGUAGGGAAGUGUGUGGGUGAGUAGUCCAGAUCGAGUCAAAGGUAUGGGAGCAAGGAACGGCCUGGUGCAUUCCAGAAGUGUUGAUAAUGUCACUGGCUGACUCGGAGGGUGUGAAGGGGAGGAGAAGGAGGGAAGGCUAGAGAGGGAAGGUAGAAAGGAAGUGGAGGCGAAAAAAGAUGCUGAAGGGCCUCCUGUACCUCCAGGAAGAGUUUGAAUGUUAUCAUUUGGGCAAUGGGAAGCUAUUCCUGGGUCUUCACAAGGGAAUCAGUUGGUGAGAACUGCUGUUUAGAAAGACAGCCCUGGCAGCAACUCAAGCGCUGGGAGAGGACAGAACCACCAGGGAAGAGGGUAUGGGGAAGAAGAGCAGCAGGCUGAGGACAGGCCCAGGACUGAAGAAUCAGGCACAGGAAGAAGAGUCCAUGGGGCAGGCUGUGAAAUGGACAAAGGAAAACCAGAGGUGCUUCCCAAGCAGGGGGCCUGGCCACCAGAGUCCCAAGCUACCAAGAUGUCAAGUAAAGAAGAACUGAAAGCCAACUGCUGGAUGCAGCAGUGAGUGGGGGUCACAGUGGCCUUUGCCAGAACUGUUCCAGUGGAGGAGUAGAGGAAGAGAGAAAACCACAGGAGCAGGCAUCGCAAGCUCAUGCUCCACCCACACGUCCCCUUUCUCCUUUAGUCCUGUGACCCAUGUGCUUGCUCUCUUUCUCUCUCAAAGGAGAUCCAAAUUUAAAAAUAUGGAGCCAAGGGAAUCAGUUCCUUUGCGAACACACUGAACGUUAGUUUUCUUCUUCUCUUUUGCAAAAACUUCUUAUUUCACAAAAUACUCAAACAAAUAGACAAAGUACAGUGAAGUCCAGGUAGAUAUCAUCCACCUUCAGCAAUGAUCAAUCCAUGGCCAAUCUUUCAUCUCAACACUCGUAUCCUCAUUCUUGUGGAGCAAAUGCCAGACAUUCUUUCAUCCAUCAGUAUGUCAAUAUGUAUCUCUGAAAUAGAAGGACUUUUUAUAAAACAUAAUCAUAAUAUAAUUAAUAUUCAUUCCCC
rnacentral:lncRNA from 10 species